AAGUCGUAACAAGGUAUCUGUAGGUGAACCUGCAGAUGGAUCAUUUCGAUGAAAAACCUUUUUUCAGAGGUGUGGCUCGCACCUGUCCAACUAAACUUGAGCUACCUUUUUCAACACGGUUGCAUCGGUCGGCCUGUCAAACAGCGCGACGCAAGGAGAAAAUCCUCGCGUCUGCUGGGCGACGGACAGACAAUUUUAUUGAACACUUUUUGAUGAUCUAGGAUUUGAAGGAGAAAAAGUCAUUUUUACGAAUGAAAUCGACUGGUAAUGCGGUCGUCUAAUUUUAAAAACAACUUUUGGCAACGGAUCUCUUGGUUCUC
rnacentral:misc_RNA from 1 species